rnacentral:rRNA from 2 species
UUUCGAGUGGCGGACGGGUGAGUAACGCGUGGGUAACCUGCCUCAUACAGGGGGAUAACAGUUGGAAACGACUGUUAAUACCGCAUAAGACCACAGCACCGCAUGGUGCGGGGGUAAAAACUCCGGUGGUAUGAGAUGGACCCGCGUUCGAUUAGCCAGUUGGCGGGGUAACGGCCCACCAAAGCGACGAUCGAUAGCCGAUCUGAGAGGAUGACCGGCCACAUUGGGACUGAGACACGGCCCAA